rnacentral:tRNA from 1 species
GCCUUCGUGGUGUAAUUGGAAAGCACAUCAGACUGGCAAUUGGAAGGUCAGGAAUUCGAAUCCCGGCGAGGGCG